UUGGUGCCUAUGGGAGUGUAAACCAAUAGGCCUAGAACUGAACAGGGGCAUAGAUCUGCUCUGGGGUAAAUGAAGAAGAAGAAGAAGAAGAAGCUGCCUUACCUCAUGACUUUGUGACAUCAUGAACCCCACUCCUGAGCCCAAGAUCGGAGGUUUGAAAGUGUAAGUAAAACACAUUAUAAUCCCGGAACUACCUGAUACAUCUGUCACGGGGGAUUCUUGCCAGUGGACCUUGGAACCCAACACAGUCAAUGAGCACCUAUAUCUGUCUGAGGGGAACCAGAUGGUUACUGGAAUUGUGUAGACUUUCUUAGUGUCCAACAAGCUUUCUCUGCCCUUAGCCUUGUUCUGAAUACCUCCAAAACAAUGGUCAUGUGGUUUGGUAAGAAGAAUGCCCCUCUCCCCACAGAGGUGUUUACUACCGCUGAGGAUUUAGAGCUUGAGGUAGUCACCUCAUACAAGUACUUGGGAGUAUGGCUAGAUGGUACACUGUCCUUCUCUCAGCACAUAUCAAAGCUGCAGGCUAAAGUUAAAUCUAGACUUGGUUUCCUCUAUCGUAGUCGUUCCUCUUUCACUCCAGCUGCCAAACUAACCCUGAUUCAGAUGACCAUCCUACCCAUGCUAGAUUACGGAGACUACAUUUAUAGAUCGACAGGUAAGGGUGCUCUCAAACGGCUAGAUGUUGUUAGCCAUUCUGAUUUGCCACCAAUGCUCCUUAUAGGACACAUCACUGCACUUUGUACUUUUCUGUAAACUGGUCAUGUCUGUAUACCCGUCGCAAGAACCACUGGUUGAUGCUUAUUUAUAAAACCCUCUUAGGCCUCAUUCACCCCUCUCUGAGAUAUCUACUGCAGCCCUCAUCCUCCACAUACAACAACCGUUCUGCCAGUCACAUUCUGUUAAAGGUCCCUAAAGCACACGCAUCCCUGGGUCACUCCUCUUUUCAGUUUGCUGCAGUUAGUGACUGGAACGAGCUGCAACAAACACUCAAACUGGACAGUUUUAUCUUAAUCUCUUCAUUCAAAGACUCAGUCAUGGAUACUUUUACUGACAGUUGUGGCUGCUUUGCGUGAUGUGUUGUUGUCUCUACAUUCUUGCCCUUUGUGCUGUUGUCUGUGCCCAAUAAUGUUUGUACCAUGUUUUGUGCUGCUACCAUGUUAUUUUUAUAUAUUUAUUAUUUUUAUCCCAGCCCCCAUCCCCACAGGAGGCCUUUUGGUAGGCCGUCAUUGUAAAUAAGAAUUUGUUCUUAACUGACUUGCCUAGUUAAAUAAAGUUUAAAUAAAUAAAUACCUUUAAAAAAAAAUAUUUUUUACAAUAAUGUCAGAAGAAGCAGCUUUAUUUCAUACAGCAAAAGUUGGCAUUUCUGGGAAAACUGGGGUGAUCUACUCACAGCCAAUGGCAGGUCAUAAUUUUAGGAAACAUUCGUCAAUUACCCACCUGUCUACAUAAAAGUGAAACAUUUUAAUUGAAAAAUAAAUUAUUAUUAAAUAGUGGCAAUAUCAUAUCAGCCUUUGUUUGACUGUGAAGUAUUUAUAGUGCUUAUGAAGACUUUUUGAAAGUUAUUUUUCUUGUGACCAAAUAGUCAUUAGUCAUGAGUGUUCUUUAGUUUUUAAGAAAUAAAGGAACUUACUGUAGGUAUGCCCUUGAGUCUGCAACAACUGCCUGAUCUUUGCGCAACACCACACCUCUUACACAAUACAGCGUUUCCUUCCCAGUCACAACCGCUUUACUUCCAGAACUCUGCUACUUGGUCAGUGUGUGUAUCAACAUGGCAGAGGCCACGGACCUGAUCAGUUGUUCGAUCUGUCUGGAUCUACUGAAGGAUCCAGUCGCUAUUCCCUGUGGACACAACUACUGUAUGGACUGUAUUAAAGGCUGCUGGGAUCAGGAUGAUCUAAAAGGUGUGUACAGCUGUCCCCAGUGCAGGCAGACCUUUACCCCAAGACCUGUUCUGAACGGAAACCCUCUACUAACUGAGUUUGUGGAGAAUCUGAAGAAGACAGGAAUCCAAGCUGUUCCUCCAGCUCUCUGUUUUGGUGGACCUGGAGAUGUUGAGUGUGACGUCUGUACUCUGAAAAAAUUAAAAGCCGUAAAGUCCUGUCUGGUGUGUUUAGCCUCUUACUGUGAGACUCACCUCCAGCAUCACUAUGAAUCUCCUGCAUUUAAAAAACACAAGCUGGUCAGAGCCUCCACACAACUACAGGAGAAGAUCUGCUCUCAUCAUGACAAGCUGCUGGAGGUUUACUGCCGUACGGAUCAGCAGUGUAUCUGUUAUCAGUGUGAGAUAGAGAAACACAAAGGCCAUGAUACCGUUUCUCCAGCAGUAGAAAGGAUUGAGAGGCUGAAACAGUUAAAUGAGAACCAGGCCAGGCAGAGAAUUCAGGAGAGAGAGGUGAAGAUACAGGAGGUGAGACAGGCUGUGAAGUCACUCAAGUGCUCUGCACAGACAGCAGUUGAGGAAAGUGAGAGGAUCUUUACUGAGCUGGUCCACUCUAUUGACAAAACGCGCUCUGAGAUGACGGAGCUGAUCAGAGCCCAGGAGAAGGCUGAAGUGAGUCGGGCUGAAGGACUCCUGAAGCAACUGGAGCAGGAUGUCGCUGAGCUGAAGAGGAGAGAGGCUGAGUUGGAGCAACUCUCACACACAGAGGAUCACAUCCAUUUCCUCCAGAGUUUCCAGUCUGUCUGUGUCCCUCCUGGAUCUGAGGCCUUACCCAGCAUCACUGUCAACCAAAUCUCAUUUGAGGAUUUAAAGAAAUCAAUAUCUGCACUUAAACAGCGACUGGAGGUUAUAUUCAAGGAGGAAAUGGCCAAGAUACCUGGGAAAGGUAGGACUUCACACACAAACAGCAAAGUGCUGGUGCCAGCGACCAUAAGUACCGAGGAAUAUGGUGUCCAGUUUGUGGAUGAGCAAAGGUCUGAGCUCAUUCAGAGGGUAACCAUGGUGAUGCCUAUAGCAGAUGAACUGCUUCAGAGAUGCAUGCUUCAUAAAGAAAUGUAUAAUACUAUCCGUAAUGCCAGGCCCAGCCAGGAACAGAUGAGACUGCUGUAUGAGGCCCUACACUCAGGAGGCUCUAAGGUGAAAGCAGCCUUUUAUGAGAUUCUACGGGAAAAACAACACUAUCUAGUCAAUCUGGCAACAAAUCUUCAUGAUGUUCCACUCCCCAAACCCAGGAUCAGAGAAGAGUUCUUGAAAUAUUCCUUACCGCUCACAUUGGAUCCUAACUCAGCUCAAGAGUGCCUGUGUCUGUCUGAGGGAAACAGGAAGGUGACAAAUAAUGGAAAGGCCCAGCCCUACCUUCACCAUUCAGACAGAUUUACCUACUUCGUCCAGGUGCUGUGUAGACAGGGUCUGUCCAGAGCCAGCUACUGGGAGGUAGAGUGGAGUGGGGAUUCUGUUAAUGUAGCCGUCUCAUAUAAAGGAAUCAUCAGGAAAGGAGACCAAUGGAAUGGCGUCGCUGCAUUUGGAAGGAAUGAUCUGUCGCUGAGUUUAUACUGCUCAACCUCUAGCUGUACUUUCAUGCACAAUUGCUCUACAACUGUUAUCACUGUCCCCUGCUCCUCCAGAGUUGGCGUGUACCUGGACCACACGGCAGGAACUCUGUCCUUCUACAACGUUUCUGACACAAUGACUCUCCUCCACAGAGUCCAGACCACAUUCACUGAACCUCUUUAUCCUGGGUUUACAGUUGGUCAUGGAUCAUCUGUGAAGAUACUGACAAAAUGAUAGAAGUAAAGCAGCUUUCAUAUUAAACUCAGUAUGGGUUUAAUCCAUAACAUUGUUAUUUCUCUUUUUUUUAUAAUCUUGAGAAGUUCAGAAAGAUAUGCUGAAUGUCUCUGCUGAUGGAGUGCUGCUGUUUUCCCCAGCUCUGACAUAACAGAUUGUUUAUGUCCUGACUGCAAAUCUGAUGAACCAGGGUUUGUUGUAUAAACACAUGCAAGCUGGCCUCUAUGUGGGUUGAGGAAAAUAGUAAGCCAUGAGAAACUCAAACAAGGCCUAGUUCCAGUUUGGCAGUUAGCUCCUACCCCUUCAGUGUGCACAAGUUUGACAGGACUGGAAGGAUGUAAGCAAUAUGGAGGCUGCUUCACUUGGCCUAUUAUAAAAGCACAUGGAGUCAUCACCUAUCCCAUUCUUUUAGAUCUGCAACACCAACAUGUAGGGAAAGGGGACCACAAUGGAAUCAGGCUUAUACAUACAGUAGGUUACAGGAUUCUGUCAACGCAAAAUCAAAUAAAAUGUUAUUUGUCACAUCUGCUGAAUACAAUUUGUAGACCUUACUGUGAAAUUCUUACUUACAAGCCCUCAACCAAAAAUGCAGUUUUAAGAAAUAAGAGUAACAAAUAAUUAAGAGCAGCAGUAAAAUAACAAUAGUACAGGUGGCACCGGUUAAUCGAGAUAGUUGAGGUUAUAUAUACAUGAAGGUAGUUAUUAAAGUGACUUAUGCAUCGAUAAGAGACUUCCUUAGAUAAAAAGGGACCAUUCAAACAGCCAACAUAGUUUAGAAAAAGGGGAAGAGAAACACUUUUUUUGUCAACUAAGUAGUUACAACAUUACAGAAAAGCAGAAGUGAAGAAUUUGGACAAAGAAUGAGAGAAGCUAGCAUUCUAGUUUUUACACCCCAUUGGGGCAAGGGAACUUACAGUUGGAACUAUUUAACACCACAGUUUAAUUUUUACUAGUCCAACGCUCUAACCACUAGGCUACGCUGCCGCCCCAUCUUUGUGAUAUGACUUUCUUUAAGCACGUACUGAUGAAACUGUCACGUAAUAUUUUUUCUUAGUCUACAGACGCUCUACAUUUAUUCACUCUGUAAUAGGGUUGGAUCCUAUAUGCUACUUUUAUUAGUGUCCUGUAAAUGGUUCAGCGCUUAUAAUUUAGGCUGUGUGGAAUGGGGCAUGAAGGAAAUUACCUCUACUUAUAAAUUCCUACUAGGUUAUAGUGAUAAGGAAAACAGCAUACACAUUUAGCUUGUGCAUUCAUUUGCCUAUAACUACUCAUAUUUUAAUUAUUUUUUACAUAAAAAAGAGAAUACUUCAAAAUGAGAAGAUCCUGCCAUGGAAAAGAUGACUGCGUGGACAUAAAGUGGAAAGGAGGGGAAAUAACUCACACCAUGCAGCAGGACACCUUCAGCUGUGGGGUCUUUGUAAUGCAGAUGGCCAAGGAAGUUGCUUCCCCAACAUCCCCUCCCAAAUUGAUAUGGAACCUUCAAAAACGCAUGGCGAAACUGCAAAAGGAAAUGGUUGAGGAUGUACUACAAAUGUCUGACUUCAACAAAGCCAACAACUGCUUCAUGUGUGCCACUGAUAAAGAACCAGGAUGUGGCUCAAAUACUGACUGGGAAUGAAGACAAAACAGUUCAACAGAGUAAAGAACACAAACUGGAAGGGCAGUCUUUGUUGUUGAAAACGUAUGCUAUACCCCAUCCACACUGAAGAGGCUCUGACAUGUACAUCAACCAGGGUUAAUGUAUGCUGUACCCCAUCCACCCUGAAGAGGCUCUGACAUGUACAUCAACCAGGGUUAAUGUAUGCUAUACCCCAUCCACACUGAAGAGGCUCUGACAUGUACAUCAACCAGGGUUAAUGUAUGCUAUACCCCAUCCACCCUGAAGAGGCUCUGACAUGUACAUCAACCAGGGUUAAUGUAUGCUAUACCCCAUCCACACUGAAGAGGCUCUGACAUGUACAUCAACCAGGGUUAAUGUAUGCUAUACCCCAUCCACACUGAAGAGGCUCUGACAUGUACAUCAACCAGGGUUAAUGUAUGCUAUACCCCAUCCACACUGAAGAGGCUCUGACAUGUACAUCAACCAGGGUUAAUGUAUGCUGUACCCCAUCCACACUGAAGAGGCUCUGACAUGUACAUCAACCAGGGUUAAUGUAUGCUGUACCCCAUCCACCCUGAAGAGGCUCUGACAUGUACAUCAACCAGGGAUCAAGAGAAAGUUAACACUGUAUAAUGUUUCAUACUUAAUUGAAGAUAAGUGUCUGACAUGUUGGAAAAGAUUAAAGGUCUACAAUUUCUGUUUAA